GUGGGUUACACAGCAGCUGUUUCUCUGGUGAGUUACACAGCAGCUGUUUCUCUGGUGGGUUACACAGCAGCUGUUUCUCUGGUGGGUUACACAGCAGCUGUUUCUCUGGUGGGUUACACAGCAGCUGUUUCUCUGGUGGGUUACACAGCUUAUGUUUCUCUCAGAAGUAGCAGGUUGUUUACCUUGUCAUCAGAUUUUACUCUCUCUCUCUCUCCCUUUGUCUCUCUGAAUCUCUCUCUGUCUGUCUCUCUGUCUCCCUGAAUCUCUCUGUCUCCCUGAAUCUGCCUGUCCCUGCUGUUGUCAGGGUAACAUCUGUCUCCAUGCUCCAGUGACAUGUGUAGAACACUGACGAAGGAUGAGGGAAGGAGAGAAGGAUUAAGGGAGAGAAAGAGAGCAAAGGAUGGCUUUACGCACGUGUGCCCCAGUGCCAGAUGGACUUGUUCCCACUCUGGGCCAAGGCCACAGAGGGUGCACAAUCAGUGUGUGUGUGAACAGCAUAUAGUCAGGUGUUCCAAGCCCUACAGGGGUGUGUCAUUUUAGCAGGGCCCUCAGUUCCCAAUGUCCCAUUGUGACAGAGAGAGUGACUCCUCAGUGUCCCCGUAUCUCCUCUCGUUUCAAUAGGAGUGUGUAGCUCUUCAUCCAAGGUUCUUUGUGUUUGGAACUGUUGGAGUGGGGUUGUGUACAAGGAGUAAAGUACCACAUUCAGGGUGUGUGUAUGCGCUCAUGUUGACACUACAGUAUGUAGCUGUGUCGGUGUGGUCACGUGGGGUGACUAGGUAUGGAGUGGUUGGUAAAUACUGUGUGUUUCACAGAUGAUGAAGCAGCACGUGCCACCAACAGGCCUGCAUUGCUCACUGAUUCUGUCCCUGACUCAUAUCCUGUGUGACUGUGUCUCAGUGUGGUCCAGUGCAUCUGAAUAAAGCUCAUCAACAGUCUUCCCUUCAUGUCUCCUGCCCUGGUCGUAGCCUCCUGGUGGUUCCAGCAUGGUUGACUCUGUCACUAGGGUCCAGCUAGAGCUUUAGGAUUCAUAAAAAUCAGUUUUUCCUCUCGUGUCAUCUUCAGAAUGGCUUAGUGGACAAUGGAACCUAAAAGCAUGUAUUGUGAAUACUAGGAUAAUAUUAUGCGGGAGUGUGGGGGUUUGUGAAGCUCAGUUGGUAGAGCUUGUAACACCAGGGUAGUGGGUUCGGUUCCCGGGACCACCACUUAUGUCAAAUUGAUGCACACAUGACACAUCUGUUAAAUGGCCUAUGUACAGUACCAGUCAAAAAUGUCAUAGUAUUUAUGUUUUCACUAUUAUUCUACAAUGUAGAAUGUACUGUAUAUUAUUUGGCUAUUUACUGUUGGAGGGACCUCCACGUUCAGACAGAGCACCAGGUGCAGUCUAGCCACAGUUCUGUAAAUGUAAAGAGCUUUGGGUGUGUGUGUGUUUUGGUGUGUGUUUGAAAACGCUAACUUCCUCACACAGCACAAAGCACCAGGUGGGUCCAGCCUGUGUGAUAACCACGCCAAUGGAGGGUGUGUGUGUGUGUGUGUAUUUUGGCAGAGAAGCCUGCUGUGAAUCUCUUCUAUUCAUCAGAUUCUGGCCAGUCUUUUCUGGUUCGACCGACAGACAGAUGGAGACCAGACGUUCAUGUUCAGCGAUUAGUGUCUCUUCCCACUUGAAUCCAGAGCCACCCCUCAUUGUGAUUAUCCUUCUCCACAUCAGAUAAAUCCUCAAUGAUUUUAAACCUCUAUACUGACUGUUUUCAUCCACAGUAUCCUACGGACAUUAACAGGCUGUAAGGCAGUAGGUUCUCUACCUACGGUUCUAACUCCUGUGGUAACUGUGUGCUAGGAGCUAUAAUUCUGAUAAGUCUCUAUGGAUCAGAACAAGAGAACUCUAAUCCCUAUCUGGCCUCAGAGCCGGCAGAACUUCUCACUGAGGGAGUCUAGUGGAUUUGAUCCUCUCUGGUCACUUUCUUGGUUCUGCCUUUAACUGACUCUGGAUCAGCUUUCUGGAGCACCGGUCCCUAUUUGAACUAUUAUGUGUUGGGUUUUAGGGGCAGAAAGUUAGUACACAUUUAUUACGUUACAUACAACCUGAAAGAGAUAGAAAUGAACGUGAGCUGUUGUGCUCUUGCUAACGUCACUUGACCCUUUAAAUGUGUGAACUCACCUCAGUACAGUAACACUACAUAUUGUCCCUGUAUGGAACGCCAGCCCAGAAUCUGUUUGCCUUUAUUCUACAUGCCUGUGGCGAGACCUGGGAAUGACCUCUGGGAAUGGUUUUGUCGGCAGUGAGCGUCACACUGCUGGAAUGUUGGGCCCCUCGUUCAUUUUCAGAUGAGGAAACACGUUUUCUCUUUUCUCCCUUACUGCCAUGACAACUGCCGCCAGAACCAGCAGAGAGAGAAAUGGGGAAAUAUCCAUCUGUGCGUCUGUCUCUCCGUUUGAAACCAAAAUACCCACUACAUGAGUGGAGAAGAUUAGAUUACACACCUUUCUUCCCUCCCUGUCAUGAUUGUCUUAUUUAGAAGCAUAUUUAUAGUUCAGAGACCAGGGUAUUCCUGUUUGGUUUAAUUGACAGUCUCUUAUCAAUAUAAGUAUACAUUUAAAGGAUCCUUGACAGGAUAGAAUUUGCAUACAGAUGUGAGCGAUGUGUAUCAUUGUGUUACGAGACCCUUGGGUAGACUGAUAUUUAAUCAGUGGGGCAUUUUGGGGCAGCUCGUAAAUUCUGUGUUUGUGGGGAAGGUGUUAUUGAAAUUGGAUAGUGUGUUGCUCUACCCCUGUCUCUACCUCCCUCCUUCUAUCCCUACAUCCCUCCCCCUCUCUCUUCCUUCCGUCUCUGUGUUUCAGUGUGGUAGAACAGUUGUGUUGAUAAUUAUGUGGCAGCAGUGCUGGCUUCUCUCUGGGGAGCCUUUCUCUUCUCUCCUGUUUUCUCCCCCUGUGUUGAUUAGGAGACAGAGUCUGGAACAGAGCCAAGGGUCUAUUUACUGCCUCGAUGCCCAACAUGCGCGAGAGAGAUGGAAAAUAGGGAGAGAGAGAGAAAAUAUGUAGCAAGAGAAAGAGGGAAAAUAGGUAGAGAGAGAAAUAUGUAGAGAGAGAGGGAAAAUAGGUAGAGAGAGAAAUAUGUAGAGAGAGAGGGAAAAUAGGUAGAGAGAGAAAUAUGUAGAGAGAGAGGGAAAAUAGGUAGAGAGAGAAAUAUGUAGAGAGAGAGGGAAAAUAGGUAGAGAGAGAAAUAUGUAGAGAGAGAGGGAAAAUAGGUAGAGAGAGAAAUAUGUAGAGAGAGGGAAAAUAGGUAGAGAGAGAAAUAUGUAGAGAGAGGGAAAAUAGGUAGAGAGAGAAAUAUGUAGAGAGAGGGGGAAAAUAGGUAGAGAGAGAAAUAUGUAGAGAGAGGGGGAAAAUAGGUAGAGAGAGAAAGAGGGAAAUAGGUAGAGAGAGAGAGAGGGAAAAUAGGUAGAGAGAGAGAGAGGGAAAAUAGGUAGAGAGAGAGAGGGAAAAUAGGUAGAGAGAGAGAGGGAAAAUAGGUAGAGAGAGAGAGGGAAAAUAGGUAGAGAGAGAGAGGGAAAAUAGGUAGAGAGAGAGAGGGAAAAUAGGUAGAGAGAGAGAGGGAAAAUAGGUAGAGAGAGAGAGGGAAAAUAGGUAGAGAGAGAAAGAGGGAAAAUAGGUAGAGAGAGAGGGAAAAUAGGUAGAGAGAGAGGGAAAAUAGGUAGAGAGAGAGAGGGAAAAUAGGUAGAGAGAGAGAGGGAAAAUAGGUAGAGAGAGAGAGGGAAAAUAGGUAGAGAGAGAGAGGGAAAAUAGGUAGAGAGAGAGGGAAAACAUGUAGAGAGAGAGAGGGAAAAUAGGUAGAGAGAGAGAGGGAAAAUAGGUAGAGAGAGAGAGGGAAAAUAGGUAGAGAGAGAGAGGGAAAAUAGGUAGAGAGAGGGAAAAUAGGUAGAGAGAGAGAGGGAAAAUAGGUGGAGAGAGAAAGAGGGAAAAUAGGUAGAGAGAGAGGGAAAAUAGGUAGAGAGAGAAAGGAAAAUAGGUAGAGAGAGGGAAAAUAGGUAGAGAGAGAAAGAGGGAAAAUAGGUAGAGAGAGAGGGAAAAUAGGUAGAGAGAGAAAGAGGGAAAAUAGGUAGAGAGAGAGAGGGAAAUAGGUAGAGAGAGAGAGGGAAAUAGGUAGAGAGAGAGGGAAAAUAGGUAGAGAGAGAGAGGGAAAUAGGUAGAGAGAGAGAGGGAAAAUCGGUAGAGAGAGAGGGAAAAUCGGUAGAGAGAGAGGGAAAAUAGGUAGAGAGAGAGGGAAAAUAGGUAGAGAGAAAUAUGUAGAGAGAGAAAGAGGGAAAAUAGGUAGAGAGAGGGGGAAAAUAGGUAGAGAGAGAGAAAUAUGUAGAGAGAGAAAGAGGGAAAAUAGGUAGAGAGAGAGAGGGAAAAUAGGUAGAGAAAGAAAUAUGUAGAGAGAGAAAGAGGGAAAAUAGGUAGAGAGAGAGGGAAAAUAGGUAGAGAGAGAGGGAAAAUAGGUAGAGAGAGAGAGGGAAAAUAGGUAGAGAGAGAGGGAAAAUAGGUAGAGAGAGAGAGGGAAAUAGGUAGAGAGAGGGAAAAUAGGUAGAGAGAGAGGGAAAAUAGGUAGAGAGAGAGGGAAAAUAGGUAGAGAGAGAGGGAAAAUAGGUAGAGAGAGAGAAAUAUGUAGAGAGAGAAAGAGGGAAAAUAUGUAGAGAGAGAAAGAGGGAAAAUAGGUAGAGAGAGAGAGGGAAAUAGGUAGAGUGAGAAAGAGGGAAAAUAGGUAGAGAGGGGGAAAAUAGGUAGAGAGAGAGAGGGAAAAUAGGUAGAGAGAGGGAAAAUAGGUAGGUAGAGAGAGGGAAAAUAGGUAGAGAGAGAAAGAGGGAAAAUAGGUAGAGAGAGAAAGAGGGAAAAUAGGUAGAGAGAGAGAGGGAAAUAGGUAGAGAGAGAGGGAAAAUAGGUAGAGAGAGAGAGGGAAAAUCGGUAGAGAGAGAGGGAAAAUAGGUAGAGAGAAAUAUGUAGAGAGAGAAAGAGGGAAAAUAGGUAGAGAGAGGGGGAAAAUAGGUAGAGAGAGAGAAAUAUGUAGAGAGAGAAAGAGGGAAAAUAUGUAGAGAGAGAAAGAGGGAAAAUAGGUAGAGAGAGAGAGGGAAAUAGGUAGAGAGAGAGAGGGAAAAUAUGUAGAGAGAGAAAGAGGGAAAAUAGGUAGAGAGAGAGAGGGAAAUAGGUAGAGAGAGAGGGAAAAUAGGUAGAGAGAGAGAGGGAAAAUAGGUAGAGAGAGAGAGGGAAAAUCGGUAGAGAGAGAGGGAAAAUAGGUAGAGAGAAAUAUGUAGAGAGAGAGGGAAAAUAGGUAGAGAGAGAAAUAUGUAGAGAGAGAAAGAGGGAAAAUAGGUAGAGAGAGGGAAAAUAGGUAGAGAGAGAGGGAAAAUAGGUAGAGAGAGAACUAUGUAGAGAGAGAAAGAGGGAAAAUAGGUAGAGAGAGAGGGAAAAUAGGUAGAGAGAGAGAAAUAUGUAGAGAGAGAAAGAGGGAAAAUAUGUAGAGAGAGAAAGAGGGAAAAUAGGUAGAGAGAAAUAGGUAGAGAGAGAGGGAAAAUAGGUAGAGAGAGAGAAAUAUGUAGAGAGAGAAAGAGGGAAAAUAUGUAGAGAGAGAAAGAGGGAAAAUAGGUAGAGAGAGAAAGAGGGAAAAUAGGUAGAGAGAGAGAGGGAAAAUAGGUAGAGAGAAAUAUGUUGAGAGAGAGGGAAAAUAGGUAGAGAGAGAGAGGGAAAAUAGGUAGAGAGAAAAUAUGUAGAGAGAGAGGGAAAAUAGGUAGAGAGAGAAAGAGGGAAAAUAGGUAGAGAGAGAGAGGGAAAAUAGGUAGAGAGAGAAAUAUGUAGAGAGAGAGAGAGGGAAAAUAGGUAGAGAGAGAAAGAGGGAAAAUAGGUAGAGAGAGAGAGGGAAAAUAGGUAGAGAGAAAUAUGUUGAGAGAGAGAGGGAAAAUAGGUAGAGAGAGAGAGGGAAAAUAGGUAGAGAGAAAAUAGGUAGAGAGAGAAAGAGGGAAAAUAGGUAGAGAGAGAGAGGGAAAAUAGGUAGAGAGAGAAAUAUGUAGAGAGAGAAAGAGGGAAAAUAGGUAGAGAGAGAGAGGGAAAAUAGGUAGAGAGAGAAAGAGGGAAAAUAGGUAGAGAGAGAAAUAUGUAGAGAGAGAAAGAGGGAAAAUAGGUAGAGAGAGAGAGAGGGAAAAUAGGUAGAGAGAAAGGGAAAAUAUGUAGAGAGAGAAAGAGGGAAAAUAGGUAGAGAGAAAAUAUGUAGAGAGAGAAAGAGGGAAAAUAGGUAGAGAGAGAAAGAGGGAAAAUAGGUAGAGAGAGAGAGGGAAAAUAGGUAGAGAGAGAAAGAGGGAAAUAGGUAGAGAGAGAGAAAUAUGUAGAGAGAGAGAGGGAAAAUAGGUAGAGAGAGAAAGAGGGAAAAUAGGUAGAGAGAGAGAGAGGGAAAAUAGGUAGAGAGAGAAAGAGGGAAAAUAGGUAGAGAGAGAGAGGGAAAAUAGGUAGAGAGAGAGAGGGAAAAUAGGUAGAGAGAGAAAUAUGUAAAGAGAGAGGGGAAAUAGGUAGAGAGAGAGAGGGAAAAUAGGGGGAGAGAGAGAGGGAAAAUAGGUAGAGAGAGAAAGAGAGAAAAUAGGUAGAGAGAGAAAUAUGUAGAGCGAGA